AGCAGAACCUGCACUGUCAGAAAAUGUGCCGGGACUGGAAGAGGGAGCUUGGAGAACCAGGAGAGGGCAGCAUCAUGGGAGAACAUUCUAGAAGGGGGAAUUCCAUCUGCUGCCACAGAGAGAAGUGAAGAGAGGCAGGAGAGUCACAGGUGUGCUGUCGGUGAGCUUUGGGAGAGCGGUGGCUGCAGGCUGGUGGAUGGAACCAGGCAGACUGUGGACGGUCCUGUGCCUGGCGGAUGAGUCCUGUGCCUGGGUCUGGUGGAUCUAGAACGGGGCAAGAUGGAGCAGCAGACAAAGAGGCAUUGGGGACCUGGAGCCUGGGUCCAGGCCCGAGACUGAAGGACUUGACCUCCUGUGCCCUCCUCUGGCUGAAGGAUUUGAUGAUCUCUCUGGAACCUGUUUCUGGAUCACUUCCAAGAAGGUGGGGGCUGCUGCCCUGUGAUGGAACCUCCUGUCCUCAGCAGGGAGCCUGGCUUGCUGGACACAUGGGGGUCCCACAGAGAGUAAGGUCCCACCUGCAGACCACAGAGAGCUCUGGACUGUGCCAAUCAAGCUGGGGCCUCCUCUAUCUUGGGUAGCAGGGGUCAAGAGCCUGGGGGCUGGCAGUCAACCUCCAAUUGCUCAGGCGCUGCUUGCUCCUUAGGCCAGUCUGAGAGGUGGAGGUGGUUUGUCUUGGGCUGCCUCCCACCUGCCCUUCAGCCCCGAUUCCCUCCCUGAGCGGCCCCCCUACCCCCCCGCCCACUGACCAGCAGCCUCCCUUCUCACAUCCCCAGGGCAGGGACAGAAGAGGGCCUUCACAGUGUCCUUGGGGACAUGGUUGCAGCCCUGCAGGCUUCUUUCCUAAGACUCCUAAUAAGCUGCAAGUUUGGGUCUCCAUCCUUUGCAGUCUAGGCUGUUUCUCACUGGUUCUCCCUGACCUUUGGGCCUCCAGGCCGUCUCCGCUAGAGCCAUUCUCUGUGCUAAUGCUGGAGGAAUCCCUCCAAGUCAGGCCACUUCCCAGCUCAAAAGUCUCUAAUGACCAUCCCUAUCAGGAGGAUAAAGUCCAAACUCCCUGGCCACGUGUUCAAGAAAUACUAUAAAACUGGAUUGUGAUUGCCUUUCUGACUUCAUCUUAUUCCCUGCUCACUGAGGCGUUAUACCUGCUCAAGCAGAACCGGGCUUUCCUCUCGGUCUGCUCGCCAACUUCCUGUAUCAGGACCCAGAUCAGGUGACACCUCCCCAGGGAGUGCGCCCUACCUUCUCACUGGGACGCCUCCCUUGGUUAAUCGCCGCCCCUCUGCUGUCCCCUGAUACGUUCUUCAGAUCUUCAUCUUUCUGUGAUUCCCUCUCCCUGCUAUUUCUGGGGUGCCUGCUAUGGUGCAAGUUUUGGAGAUACGGUGGGGAGCAAAAUUGCCUGGUUCCCACCUCGUGGCCUUCAUUGUCCAGCAUUUAUCGCACUGGACUGUAAAUUCUCUGUUUGGAUCGAUUGCUCCUACUGGUCAACUACCAUUUUGAGGACCAGAGCGAUCCUUUAUCUCUGUAUCUCAAUUUAUUUAACACAGAUCCUAACACUUGCGAAGCGCUCCAGUCUGAUAAAUUGCAUGAGUCAAUGUGUCUGUUCAAAGCCGGCCCCUGGGGGAUGUGUUUACCCUUUGUGGGCAGGGAGGGACCUCUGAGAGGCCUUCUUCUACAACUGAACAGUGCAACAAGCAUGCAUGAGUGUCUGCUGUAUGCCAGGUAUGUCAUGCCUGAGCAUCAGCACUGAGCAAAACAGACUGGAUCCUUGCUCUUUCAGGUACGGUUGCCAGAUGAAACGCAAGUCAUUCAGUUACAUGUGAAUUUCAGAGAAGCAGUGAAUACUUUUUUAUUUUUGUCUUUUUGUCUUUUCUAGGGCCGCACCUGCGGCGUAUGGAGGUUUCCAGAAUAGGGGUUGAAUUGGAGCUGUAGCUGCUGGCCUAUGCCACAGCAACGCCAGAUCCGAGCCGCGUCUGUGACCUACACCACAGCUCAGAGCAAUGCCGGAUCCUUAACCUACUGAGCAAGACAGGGAUCGAACCCACAACCUCAUGGUUCCUAGUCAGGUUCGUUAACCACUGCACCACGAUGGGAACUCCAGUGAAUAAUUUUUUAAGUGUAAGUAUGUCUCAAAUAUUGGGACAUACUUAUACUAAAAAGUUGCUUUUUUGUUUUUCUGAAAUUCACACUUAACUGCAUAUUCUUUUUUUUUUUUUNUUUGUCUUUUUUGCUACUUCUUUGGGCCGCUCCCGCAGCAUAUGGAGGUUCCCAGGCUAGGGGUCGAAUCGGAGCUGUAGCCACCGGCCUACGCCAGAGCCACAGCAACGUGGGAUCCGAGCCGCAUCUGUGGCCUACACCACAGCUCACAGCAACGCCGGAUCGUUAACCCACUGAGCAAGGGCAGGGACCGAACCCGCAACCUCAUGGUUCCUAGUCGGAUUCGUUAACCACUGCGCCACGACGGGAACUCCUAACUGCAUAUUCUGUAUGUCGUUGGCCAAGUUUGGUGAUCCUACCCCAAGGCUCCAGAUCCACUUCCACCCUCUGCCAUCUUGUCUCUUCAAGACAGAGCCUGGACCUGUGUGCUUAAGGGCUCAGGUGUAGGGGAGAGAUGGAUUGGAGGGGUGUCUAGGUGCUAUGCCUGUAGCUCCCUUCUGAGAAAAGAGGUCACAGUGGUUCUUUACACAUAAGUUUCCCAUGACCCUGUUGUUCUGGUUCCUCCUAUUUGGUAAGGAAGUCUGGGUCUUGUCUAGAGGCAGCCAUCAACGGGCUGGACAUAAGGAAGACCAGUGGCUGCUGAGGAGGCCUGGGGGAGAGACGUGUCCACUUCCGGUGCUCCGUUCUGGAUGGUCGCUCACCAAGUCAGCGAGAUCCCUCUCAGGGAAUUUUGAAUGAGAGAUGGGGAGAAAGAAAAACUCAACGAGAUGCAAAAGCAAUAGACGCAGAGGAGGAGAGGAGGAGGCAGAGAGAGGCUGGCAAGACGGAGAGGUUGAUGCAUGUGCAGCUCGCAUCCUGGGGCAGAACCUGGAUCAAGAUGGCUGUCACCAGAGCAGCUGGAGGGGCCACAGCACAGUCAGGGUUGUACCCUGCACAGCCCUCCACCAAGGGCUGCUUUCCUGAACAUCCUUCCCAGUGUCACUUGAUGUAACCUGAAUGAGUCU
rnacentral:lncRNA from 1 species